GGAGGGGUGGGUGAGUGGUCGAAACCAGACGCCUGCUAAGCGUUUGGACGGGCUAAAACCCGUCCCGCGGGUUCGAAUCCCGCCCCCUCCGCCA
rnacentral:tRNA from 1 species